rnacentral:rRNA from 1 species
UCCGUAGGUGAACCUGCGGAAGGAUCAUUACCGAGUUUUCGGGCUUCGGCUCGACUCUCCCACCCUUUGUGAACGUACCUCUGUUGCUUUGGCGGCUCCGGCCGCCAAAGGACCUCCAAACUCCAGUCAGUAAACGCAGACGUCUGAUAAACAAGUUAAUAAACUAAAACUUUCAACAACGGAUCUCUUGGUUCUGGCAUCGAUGAAGAACGCAGCGAAAUGCGAUAAGUAAUGUGAAUUGCAGAAUUCAGUGAAUCAUCGAAUCUUUGAACGCACAUUGCGCCCCUUGGUAUUCCGGGGGGCAUGCCUGUUCGAGCGUCAUUACAACCCUCAAGCUCUGCUUGGAAUUGGGCACCGUCCUCACUGCGGACGCGCCUCAAAGACCUCGGCGGUGGCUGUUCAGCCCUCAAGCGUAGUAGAAUACACCUCGCUUUGGAGUGGUUGGCGUCGCCCGCCGGACGAACCUUCUGAACUUUUCUCAAGGUUGACCUCGGAUCAGGUAGGGAUAC